rnacentral:lncRNA from 1 species
GAUACAUGGGACCUAUGGGGAGUUUCACAACUCUUAUGAUUGAAGAACUCUAGUGGGUAAGGGGGCAGGGAAGUGAAAAGGCCACUGCCCCCCAUAUUGCAGUCGGAAAAGGCAUGUCACCAGCAAGUAUACUCUCCUGCAAGCCAUCUAAAUCGGUGAGGAAAAAAAGACUUGUUUCGGGAUAUCACGGAGCUCACUCUUCAUGAUCCCAUAGCUGGAAGAAGUUUUUCUGGACUCUGAAAUUCCUAUUCGAAAGCGAUCGGAACAAGCAUUUUUAAUGCAUGCGAAACCAUAUUUUUUUCGUUAAUUGGACUGCUGCAUUAAGUUUUAAGUAUCCGAUUUUCAGUUUUAAGUAUCCAAGUUGUAAGUGAUUGAAAUUUUUGGAGCUGCUUGCACCUACACACUGCUCUAUUGCAGCCCUGUAAAAUUAUGUGGGUGUUCUGUGACAAAGGCAACUUACAAGACCUCUGUUGAACCAAUUCAUAACGCCAACCAAAAUUCACAAUGCUAUACCGGGUCUUGCUGGAUUCUCCGGACAUAACAUGUGCACAAUGUCACAAAACAUAAAACGUGGCCACCAUAAACAGAGGCGCCUUAAUUCAGGUUGCCGCCACGCUUCCAUGUGAUUUUAGACCAAAGCUCUUUAGCUUUUAUGGCAUGUGUCAGACUUGAGAGUAAGUGGUCCUUUUUCUCGCCAGUCAGGAUUGUUUGCAAAGCCUUACUGUGCACAAACGAGAGGGCAUUUCAUUGUGUGCCACCACCUGUCAUGCUCUUCAUUUGCCACUCAGUGACUGCAAGAACGCUAAAUGAGGUUUCUAUGCGCAGCAUGCACAGAGUACAAAACUGUGCUGCAUUGCACUGUGAUACGAUACGCGUUUACCCUCUAAUGCUCCUGCGGCAUUGCGUGUGCCACCUUAUACCCUCUGAGCUGUGCACUUUCAGCUGAUGAAAAAGCUCUCAGUCGCGCAAUGUGCAGUUUGAAAGGUGCAUUGGCUAAUGGCCACAGGUAACUAAACCACUUUGGUUUUGGUUUACUACCUCUGUUUUCCUUUGCGGCAGCAGUAAAAAUUUCCUUGUAAUGGAAUUGUGGAGCAACACUUAUUUAUCUCGAGAUAAAAGAAAUAUUCUUAGUUUUGUAAGAACGGGAAGCUAGAAAAGUUAAAUAUUUGGUUAUUAUUGAGAAUAUGCUUAUAUUGAUGUGUAAUCUUAUACAACAAUAUCUGCAAAGUUCUCUUUUAAAUGUUCUGUAUUUCUAAGUUAUUGGGAAGCUAUGUGUUUUGACAGUAGACUUGUUUCUCAUGUCAAAGCCACCAAAGAUCUACAGUUUAUCAAAGGCUGGCUCAAGCGGCUACUUGCAGGGUCAGCAAAGUGUUUCAUUGUUGGGGAGGGUUGUGUGAAUGAAUUGUUGGUGAAAGUGCUUCGAGUUAAAUUGAAGUGAAGCAAAACAAGAGCAAGGAAUUCAUAGUAUUCAUGUAUUGGAGAACGUGUGUGUGUGUCUGUGUGGACAAAUGAAGGCUUCAGUGCACAAGAAGCAAUCUGGAAUGUCACACUACAUUACCAUCUUGUUGAAGUUUGCGUGAGAGGGGUCGACAACAUACUAGGUGCUUACACUAUCGGUGAUAGUUUUGGCUUCUCCCAAAUCAUCGUUUUCUGCCGAUUUUGUGUUAUGGUUCUCACCAUUUUCUCUCACUCUUCUGUAUCACGAUGGUGUGAAGAUUAUAGCUUCAUAUUUACAAAUUUUGAUGAAUACAAGGUUAGAAAGAGUGUCAGGCUUGUGCAUGGUACUUUGCCGUGCUUGUGACUGCAGUGCCUUGUGGUAUGCUGUUGUUUAGGCCCACCUGUUUUUGCACGGUGGUGUUCUGUACAUUAGAUGUGUGCUGUGAUCAGGUACAUAUCGGUCUGACUGCCUGUGCAGACAUAUCAGACUGUGAGGCAUCAGUAGUCAAAGUUUCUUUCAUGGCAGUGCAAGUUUGGGGUUGAUGUUUCAAUGUAAGUUGUACACUUAUGGAAGACAUGUCUCAUCUAUUUCACUCCAAUACAUUACGUUCAGGCAGUACUAGUUGGGCAAAGUUUCUUUUUUGCUGCACUCACAUCAUGUUUGUGAAGCUGUUAUUUUACAACACGGCUGUUUGUAAGCAUACUGCUAUCAGUGCAAUCAAAGCAUGAUGUCUUGGGAUUACGGUGAAAUCAAAAAGGUUUGGCGUAACAGUGAUAGAAUUGUGUUAGAUCUUAACAACAGCACAGAAAAUAUGUGGCCAAGUGAAGGCUACAGAUGACACUCUGACUUUCAACUGAGAUUGAUUGCAGAAAUGCAAGAAAAUACAAGAAAAUCACAUCGACAACAGUAAUGAUAUAUAAGGGAACCUACAUCACAUGCGUCGUGCAUUCACAUAGGACAAAAAGCUUAAUUGUUUUGAUAACAAAGCGAUAGAUGGCAUGCUGGCGUAAUCCAUGUGUAAUCAAGCAAUCUCUGGUGCCUGUUGUUUCCUACGUACGUAAUCUGGGAACUGGUUCACCCCAACACCAGGCACUGAUUGAAUAGUGCUCUGUAGUCUCACACAUGCUGCUUGAAGGGCUAAGUGCCCGCAAGAUUUAACAUGUCUACUAAUUUGUCUAAAUAAUACUCUACUAAUUGACAGAGUAAGAAACAAUACUGACAGCAAAGCCUGGUUUUUAAAUAAGCUCAGAACACUAGAUGUAACGAUUUGUGGUUCAAUGUCAGUGCCCUCCAUCUGGUAAUAAAUCGCUGUGUGCAGUGCCUUUGUUCUUUUGUAUGUACAUCUGUGUUGUAGUAUUUGAGUCUGAAUGUGCAGAAAGUUUAGGCUAAAAUAUGGUGCUUGGUUCAUCUUUGCUGCAUAUAUUGCAGUGUCUGUAGUAUGUCCAAGUUUUCAGGUUCAAAUUGCGGCUCUGGCAAGCACACUUUGAUUGCGUUCAUGUGGCAAGCUUGAGACAAAUGCAACCCCCAUCCCAUUUUCAUUUAGUAACUUCCGCAGCGUAUUAAUUUAGAGAUGAAAAGUCUCAUUUAAUUUUCGAUUGACCAAAGUCAUCGCUUGUUGCCUCCGCACGUCAUUAGUGUGUGAGCAGCAAGAUAUUCAUGUAGCAGCGGCACUUUAUAUUUAUUGUCAUUUUUGUGAUUUGCAAACCCACGGUGGUCCUGCUGAAAUCUUUUAAUUUAGGCUUAUCAGUUCAGUUUGUUGCAUGUGCGCAGCAAUAAUGAAUGCUGUAGCCACAUUGAGAUGGCACCACCACCCACAUCUAGUUCUUUGUUAAUUCCCCUGUUUGAAAGGAUAGGGCCACAAGUCAGCCGAGAUUUGUCACGUUUUCUGUGGCAUAACAAAGCAAAAUAUGGUUGUGUCGAUUUUGCUUGUCAGUACUUAGUGUUAUUACACCUAGACGGCACCAUAUGAGUUUGCAUUAGCGUUUCAUACUUUCCUGCCGUACUAAAAAACUAGUUACUACCACGCAGUGCACCCUUUCUUAGAGUUAGUGUUGCGACACACACUAAUGUAGGUGUUUUAUGCUACACUAAAACUUGCUGCUAUCGAAGUGAAGGGUAAAGAGCAUUGUGUAUCCCUAGAUACAUAAAAACAACAGGAAUGGGAAGGGAAAUACAACAGCUCAAAGCAAAAGUAUGCAUAUCAUGAAGACUGAACUAAUACUUUCUCAGCAGCAAAAUGUGAUAGCCAUGUGGCCACUGCAUCAGACACUUAUUAGGCUGGGAAGAAAUGCGCAACUUCAAUGGAGGCUCUGCAUUGGAGCCAUUGUUUCUAGCUCUUUCCUGGCAAUCUCAUCGGAAGAAAAAGCUUUUUGAGGUAACCAACUUGACUGGGCAUCACGUGCUGUUACGCUGUGGUGUGGUGUUGUAGCCUCAUAUCUGCAAAAUGCUCUUAAGUGAACUUUAAAGGCUCUCUCUAGUGGGAACUCUGUAAUUAUUCACUUAAAUGCACACUUUGUGUUCUGUGGCUGAUGGCCUGACGCAAAAAAGGUCUUCGCAAUGAGGACUUACGGUGUGCAGCAUGACUUGAGAACUACUGGCAACUUAGGUAUUCAAAGUUUUUAUGUUGUUUCCACAUUUUCGCUCCCUUUUGAGCUUACGCUGACACACUGAAUUGUGUGUACUUUAUGUUUAGAUGUUGAUAUUGAGUGGUGUAGCUAUCUAUACUUACAUAUGCAAAUGAACUGCUUUUAUAUUUUGAAUUAUUGCGAAAGCUGUUAUGUACGUGCAGCUUUAUCAUGACGGGUCGUCAGUCAUUGUUUGGUCAUUCUUACAUAGUUAUGACUUUUGCGCGUCUUUCAUUUGCACUUGAAGGCCUACACAUUAUGCAAAUCAACGUGUGAUAUGGGAGAGGGAAAUAUAUAGGUAUCUUUACUAAGCUGAGCACGGCAUGUAUAUUUUUAUUGCUUUCAAGUGGCAGCUGUUGCAAUUGAACAUUGGGCAUGUCACUGCUCUCCCCAUGUCUCUGCAGCUGCUGUGCUUGUCUCACUUAUUGCGGUGACAUGCAGCACAGUAUCAUUGACUGGGUUGGUUGGUUGGUGCUUGUGCAAACAUAUUGGGCGUGCUACGAUAAUGCACAUUACACGAUUCCGUUUUCGAAAGUGUUGCUCAUUCAAAGAUUUGUUGGACUGGUGUCUGUGAUAUGUCUUCUUGGAAACGGGGCAAUGACUGGUGGGCACAGUUACACACAACAGCGUAACUUCUUUUAAUACUUUUGUCGGUACGAACCACAAGCUGCGGUUCCCCACUGAUUGUAGCAGGUGUUGUAAGUAGAAAACCUGCACAAAAGCAGGGUGCACCGGACAAAAGUUGGAAUGGCCUGCACUGGAAGCAGCACUCUUUCACGGUAACAGUGGCACUAGCAGGCCUUGUUCUUAACCACUCAUAAAAGCUCUAUCCAUGAUUACAAUGCUUCUCUCCCGAUGUAGGCACACCUGGUUUAAAAGAAAAAAAAAAAAAGAAACCUAGCAGACAAGCUGUCAAACUCUCAAAUGAAACUCGACGUAGCAGUUGCUGUCGGUUUAAUCUCUAAAGCCACUGUUCUGUGUGCCACCUGCUGCAAAUGCAAAAGACAGAAAUAUUUUAAGAUAGGGUAGAUGUGGCAGUGUCUUUGUUACAGCAGUGCAUCAUUAGUGACAAACUUGAUUGAAUGCAUUAUAGCCACUUAUUAGUUGUGCAUAAUUUGCUGAUGAACUCUCUAUUAUGUCCAAAUUCGUUUCAGGCAGAUGCAUUCCUGGAAAGAAAUGCUUUGAUAUUCCUUUUAAUACUUUUCUGAAAAAUGGUAAGCAUAAGGCAGAGCCACCAUUUUAUUUUGUGACAGAAUUUCUCAAUGAAUUCAUCUCUGGGCUUAUCUUGAAAUGGCUGCACUUGUGCACUUGUAGCCGCCGCGGUGGUCUAGUGGUUACGAUGCUCAGCUGCCAACUGAAAAGGUGGGGGUUCGACCCUGGCUGUCGCAUUCUGAUUGAGGCAAAAUGCAUGAGGCCCAUGUGCUCCAUGUUAAGGUGUGCUCCAUAUUUAGGUGAAGCCAUGAGGCUUCAUAUUUAGGUGCACAUUGAAGAACCUCGGGUGGUUUAAAUUUCCGAAGCCCUCCACUACUGCGUGCCUCAUUAUA